rnacentral:rRNA from 1 species
UACGAAGGGGCUAGCGUUGCUCGGAAUCACUGGGCGUAAAGCGCACGUAGGCGGAUUGCUAAGUCAGGGGUGAAAUCCUGGAGCUCAACUCCAGAACUGCCUUUGAUACUGGCGAUCUUGAGUCCGGGAGAGGUGAGUGGAACUGCGAGUGUAGAGGUGAAAUUCGUAGAUAUUCGCAAGAACACCAGUGGCGAAGGCGGCUCACUGGCCCGAUACUGACGCUGAGGUGCGAAAGCGUGGGGAGCAAACAGG